rnacentral:rRNA from 1 species
CGUAGUCUGCCAUACGCAGGAAGACCCGCUGAACUGAAGCAUCUCAUUAAGCGGAGGAAAAGAAACUAACUAGGAUUCCCUUAGUAAAGGCGAUCGAAAAGGGAACAGCCCAACGUCUUAAUCCCGCAAGGGAAAUGUAGUCGGUUCACCUAUUGCACUGGUCUAAGUCAGAUGGAAUGCUGCGCGAUUCAGAGUAAAAGCCUCGUAUGACCAACCGCAAGCUUACGAUGGACCGGGGAGAGUCGGAUACUUUGAGAGUAGUGUCUUAAGGGGGUGGUAUGUCCCAUCCAAGGCUAAAUAACGUGAGGAGACCGAUAGAUUACAAGUAGUGUGAACGAAAGAUGAAAAGAACUCUAAAACAGAGGGUGAAAAGUUCCUGAACUUGCUUAGGGUUAAGGCUAUUUAUAGUACCCGUCUUGAAACACGGAUUAGGGAGUUUAUCUGUAGUGCGAGUCUUUGCACGUUAACUGUAAAGGCGUAGAGAAAGCAACUGGCGUUUGCAUGGCUACUGAGCAUUACUGAUAGGACCCGAAAGGUGGUGAACUUUGCCUGCACAGGUUGAAGUCAGGGAAACUCUGAUGGAGGACCGUACGGGUUAUUGAUGUGCAAAUCAUUUUUCUGAUGUAGGUAAAGGUGCGAAAGACUCAUCGAACCACCUAAUAGCUGGUUUCCUCCGAAGUUUCCCUCAGGAUAGCUGUAAUGCAUUUAGUUAAGGGGAGUAGAGAUAUGGGUAGAGGUGCAGGGAGCCUUCGGGUUCUCAACUUAUUUCCAAACUUCGAACCUCCUUGUUAGGCAUUUACCUAACUGGAAAUGCUUAAAUGAAUUAGCGUUACAAGUGGGCUCUGACCGGUAAGCGGUCAUGGCGAAAUGGGAUGAACCAUACGUCUGAAUAAGGUGCCGAAAUGUACUAUCACUGAUACCAUAAAGGGAGUCCAUGUAUUUAGACAGCAGGUCGGUGCCCCUAAAAGCAGGUAUCCGCUAAAGAGUGUGUUAAAACUCACCUGCCGAAUACUAGGGCCCCGAAAAUGAAUGGCGCAUAUAGUACUACCGAUCUCAGACAUCAGUUCUAUUGAACUGAGAGUAGGGGGAUGUGGACAUUUUUGUGAAGGUGCAAUGUGAGUUGGACUGGAAGAAUGUCUAUUACAGAUCCUAAUUGAAGUAGCGAUUAUCCAGGCUUGUAUCCUGGGGGCUGAUGAGGAGUAGGGUUUCUGGACAACUUAAACAGAUCCAGAGUUAGUCGAUCCUAAUCUCAAUAAUGGGAGAAAGGGAGUACAGU